rnacentral:rRNA from 1 species
UACGUAGGGUGCAAGCGUUAAUCGGAAUUACUGGGCGUAAAGAGCUCGUAGGUGGUUUGUCGCGUUGUUCGUGAAAACUCACAGCUUAACUGUGGGCGUGCGGGCGAUACGGGCAGACUGGAGUACUGCAGGGGAGACUGGAAUUCCUGGUGUAGCGGUGGAAUGCGCAGAUAUCAGGAGGAACACCGGUGGCGAAGGCGGGUCUCUGGGCAGUAACUGACGCUGAGGAGCGAAAGCGUGGGGAGCGAACAGG